ACUCCAAAAUUGAUGCUACUCGAUAGCUCCCAUCAGCUUGCUCUCUUGAUUUGCUGCCUUGAGGUCGUUCGUGCUCACCUGUAGCCACGUCCGCAGCUGGUGCUUCCAGUGUGGCCAUCGACCGCGGUUGGUGUCCGUGCAAUUGAUUUGGGCGUGGAUAUCGUCUCCCGCAGCUUGCUUGGAUCCAGCUUGAGUGUUAUCCCCAAGUGCGCAGGCUAGGCACAUCGUCGGUAUUCCCGCUCGAGGUAGCCGGCAACAUCGUCGUCAUCCUCCACGGCGUCAACAAUCUCCGAAGUUCGAAGUCCGACCUGCAGAAGAUGAUACCUGCUAGAGGUGUUGUUGUUUUUGGACGCCGGACGGAGUUAAUACUGUAGGUUGCGACGUCGCUGGCUAGUGUUGAUCAGACAAUCCUCAAUAUUACAUACAAUGUUCUUGAAGCACAAUAUUGAUAACUGAAGUAAAGGUAAGUGUCUUACCUCUUGCUAACUUGAAAAUCCUUCUCUGGUGACUUUCACAACACUUGUAAGCCAAGUAAUCAUUUCUGGCAUGGCUUCUUCACCAGGAUAAAAUAUUAGGCAUAACAUCUCACUAUAAAGAACUUCACAACUGCACAAAGAAGAACUAUGCAUUGCUAGGUAGUUGACAUAUAUUUCUUUAAAGUAGUGCAGCUGACAAAACAAUUAUUAGCUUUGGGAGUUAUCUUGAGCAUCAAACUUCUUGCAUCAAACUAUAUGGACUAUUUGCGAGUCUGACUAACAAAUACAUACAUUUGUCAAAUUAAACUUUUGGGGCAGAAAAGUAUGUGGACUGAGAUGUCUAUCAGUACUCUAAUCUAGUAGUGAAUCAAUAGUUUUUUCUCCGAUGCAUAUGCAUAUUUUGUUUUAAUGUACCAUUGUGAUAGAAAAGAAACAUGGUGUGCUUCAUUGUCGAUACAUCAUAUUUUGGCAAUGCACAAAUCAACUUAUAUAUGUGCUAUUAAUUAGAGAAUAGAGGAGUUCGAAGAAAACAAUGAAGACACAUAGAUUGGCCCCCGCCCCCGCGUCGCCCAGCUCGGGUGGCACGGGGGAACCCUAGCCGCAGCGAGCGAGGCCCCUCCCCUGCCCUCACCUAGCGCCGCCGCUGUCGGAGGGCCGGCCGGCGAAGCCGCGCCGGACCCCAGGAAGGUGGCGGCGGGGCGGAUCUGAUCCUCACGCCCCCAAUCCCCCACCUGCAACCCACCACCCACAUAUCCCCCUCCUGGCGGCUGCCUGCUGGCCCGGUGACGCCAGCUCCGGUCCCUCGCCGGCCUGGCCCUCGCCGCUCCGGCCAGCGUUGCCCUUCCCCCUCCGCCCGCCCUUGGCCGCUGCGGACGCCCCCCUCGCGCGCACCUCCUCUCCGCCCGCGCCCCGCGUCCCCGAGAUCCCGUCUGGCGUCUCUCGGGUGCCCUCCACCAACCGCUGCCCAAACUUGCCGGCCGGCGGCAGAUCCGGCGCUCUUGGCCUUGCCAUGGGCGCCCCCCUUUGCAACCUCCCUCUCCACGAUGGCGUGACCCAGCCCUGCUGGUGUUGUUGCCGGGCGUGAGGCCUACGGCUGGAGGUGGAGGCGUCCGCGGCCUGCCUUUCGUGCAGGCGCCCCCCUUCAUCUCCGGUGGCCCUCCCUUUCCCCGAGUCACGGUGACAGCUCUCGUGUGGAGGCAUCGGUGCUUCUGUGGUGUGGCUGGCACGGGCUCCUCGCGGCGGAUCAUUGCUGGUGCUGCUCCGGUCCCGGUUGCCUGGGGCCCGCGUCUCUCCGGUGUCCCCUGCUGCCGGCGUCCUCUGCCGGGCAGCUCCGACCUCGGCGACCAUGUGGCUGCGUCCCCUCCAGCUCACUCGGCUUGCCGACGUCACGGCGGCUAAGGCCACGGCAGCUCAGAUCUACGUCCCUCCAGUCCUAGCUUGCCGGCGCUGCUGGACGCCGCCGCCCCAGAUCUGCUCGCGAGGUUUUGCUUCGUCUCCAGCCCUACCCUGUAUGCCUCAAGGCUCCACCUUUUGCCAGAUCCAGUGCUCGUGGGUUCGUGGGCGAUGCCACCCACCGACGGCAAGUGCAGCCCUGCCAACCCCCUCCAGACAUGGUAGUUCCGACCAACUUUGGCUUCCACAACUUCAAUUCCGGACUAGGCGGCUAUGGGAUUGCUCAGCUUCAGGCCAGGGAGAGAUCCCUGCUCGUCUUGCGGUGCUGGCAGCGGCGGCGCCCGCGGGUGUCGCUUCCUUCUUGGAGGCGUUGUCAAGGUCUUCAGCUGCGCCCCUCUUCGAGCUCAGGGGAAACCCUAGGUCCGACUCCCUCGGACCGGAUAUCGAUGGCGUCCCGGCGUCGUCUUCCUUCUUGAAGGCGUUAUCUUGCGAGCUCGCGGUGUCCCCGAUUCUGGCUUGGUAGAUGUUGGAAUUCUUGUGUUGGUUCGGCGUUGCCGCUUGGUUCGGGUUUGGUAGGUCUAGUUGUGAUGUAUCCUCCGUUCGGGCCGAGCAUCCCCUUCUCUCUGCUCCGGGCACCAUGUUCACGCCUGCCCGCGUCCGUGUCAUGUGUUGUACCCCCUUUGUACUCAUUCUACUUCUUCUAUCAAUGGAAAGAUACGCAAGCUUUGCGUAUUCGCGAAAAAAAAGAAAACAAUGAAAGGGGGUAUAUGCAAAUGAUGGGUGCUAUAUCUUCGUAAUGCAUAUGAACUUCUAGGUGUGCUACAAAGUAUUAUUAAUUAAAGAACAGAACAAAUCCUAGAAAAAAGAGGAGGUUGAUGUGACAGUCACCAGUCACCUGAGAGGGGCUAGCGCAGCGCAAUCAGGGCCGGCCCCGGGCCAGGGCAGCAGGGGUGACGGCCCGGGGCCCAGUCAUAUUAGGGGCCCCGACCUAGUGCUGCUAUAUAUAGAUAUGGGCCUUGAUGAAAUGCUAAAUAAAAAAGAAAGAUUCUGUAGGCAGGGAGGCCUAUCUCCAGCAGAAGCCCAACUGUGAAGGCAGGCAGGCACGCACACGGGCACAAGGGCAGUUGCUCAGAAAAAAAAGGGGGCACAAGGCCAACAACAACCCGCUGAGAAUGAGACCACAAUUGAGGAAAACAAUGCCCAUAUGAGACUCCUAUAAAUAUUUGAGUGGCUGUGAGAAUCCUGCAAGUGUAGAUGAACAAGGAUCUUCUCCUUUUGAUAUCUAUGACCCUAGAAACUGGGACACUCUUGACAAUAAAUCAAGAGAUAUUCUGAUUAUAAAAAGGGCAUACAAGGGAACAAAAUCUUGUGUUUGAAAUAGACUACAUUUAUCUUGACAGUUUCAUUUCAUGAUUUUGCAUCAAAAAAUGCACAGAGCCGUUUCUCAUGAUUACUGGAGGCUUGGAGGUUCGCUAGUAUGUCAUUUCUUUUCUGUUAUGCUCCAUGACUUUUAUGAUGUUUGAUUUACACCUAAAGUAUGAAAUUGUUAUUUAUGACUUGGAGUGAUAUUUACCAAGGAAAAUUACCGUUGUUUAUUAUAGCUUUGCAAUAUAUUUUUUAUCAAUGUAUGGAAUCAAUUUUUUCCUCCAAUGCUGUCACUGGGCCCAUUCAUUUGAGUUCGCCCCGGGGCCCCCGAAACUCCAGGACCGGCGCUGAGCGCAAUUCCAAUGAAGAUGGUGGACAUGCUAGGGAACGCUAGUUCCUAUAUACUGAUUCGUCCAGUCCGACACCUGCGUCCAGCAGCCGUCCAUGCUUGUGAUGGAAGAGGCCGGUGUUCAGCCCCUGGUGAAGGUCGUGAAGUUCAUGGUGUACCUCUGAGUCCAAGCCGUCGCUAUGUGGAUGGAAUUUCAAAAUCCAAGACAUCGUGUACGUCUGCGUCCAAGUUGUCGCUAUGUUGGAUGGAACUUCAAAAUCCAGGGCAUCAUGGAGUUGUGGAGAAGAACAAUGCUAGGAUUCUCUCGAGGAAGUUUUUUCUCUCGAGGGAGUUUUGGUGCAUGGGUGGAGCAGGAAACCCCAAUGAUAUCUUCAAGCAGAUAUUUAUUUCCAGUAAAAUAUGGGUACGGAGGACAACUUCCUUUUUUGAGUCGGGAUGUAAUUUUAUUCUUUUUCAUACCUUCCUAUGUAAGGGACGUGAACGGUCUUUUUUAAAAGAUCUUCCUAUGUAUGGGAUCUGAGAGAUCCGAUUCUACUUCCUUUUUUGAGUUGGGAUGUAAUAAUUAUGGGAUUUUUAAAGAUCUUCUUGUGUA